rnacentral:tRNA from 1 species
UUCCUGGUGGUCCAGUGGUUAAGGCUCUGUGCUCCCAAUGCAGAGGGCCCAGGUUUGAUCCCUGGUCAGGGAA